AUUUCAUUCACACAAGGCACUGCCUGGGGGAGGGGGCUGUUCCUGGCUGCAGAAUUCUAGCUCUCACGAGCACGCAGACAACCGCACUCGCAGCGGUGUGGGGCCGGCUGCUCAGGGGAAGCCCCAGGCUCUCCGACCCAGCUACCGGGAAUGGUAUUUGGAGUACCUUCUACCCCCUUUGUAAAAAUGCAACCUCAGGAGUGCAAAUGAUAGCAGGGGAUUUAGAAAACUUUGCAAAUAAAAAAAAGCCUUUCUCUAGACAGAGACCAACAACAGACACCCAUAUCCACAAAUCCUUCCCCUCCCCAAAUUUGAGCAAACGCCCCUCGGCAUUCACCCGCUGCAGGGAUACUCCUGCCAAUAGCUUAAUUGGAAGCUCUCUAAGCCCACCCCUGCUCUUCCAAACCCACGACAACGUCCUCUUCCAGGGAGGGAGAGGCUGAGCCCCUGUUCCCGGGAAUGGCAGGGGCGCCCGCGCGAGGAGGGUCGCCGGGAGAGCCGCCUCUCCUCCAAGCUGGAGCAGCCGUGACCCAGAUUGCGACCGCGGCGGCCUCGCCCUGCCUAAUCCCCCCCUCUUCUUCCUCCAGGGGCACCCUUUGGAGAAGAACCCCAGCCUGGGGUGGGGACGCACCGGCUCUCCGACAGCUCAAACACAGACAGAUCUUCUAGAGCCGAGGGAAUUUCUUUUCGCAGAAGCCAUUACUCCCCCCGGUAAGGGCUGCAAAAGGAUUAGGGCGGGUCUCCUCUAGCCAGGAUGCCUUCGGGGCUGGAACUGGCUUUUCUGGGAAAACCCAGAGAUGGUUUUGUUUCGGAAGCAGAAACAGUCCCCCGGGCAUAUUAGGGCGCCCGGUGCGCACGUCGCAAUCCCGUCCAGGGCUUGCCUUGCCCCGGCGCUCGUCGCUUCCCUGGGCGCCGGGCGGUUUGCAAGCCCUGCUCCUUACCUCCCGCCGACUGCAGGGGAUCCGGAGGCGAUUCUGCGCGGGUG
rnacentral:lncRNA from 1 species